rnacentral:rRNA from 1 species
CCUACGGGAGGCAGCAGUGGGGAAUUUUGCGCAAUGCUCGUAAGAGUGACGCAGCGACGCCGCGUGAAUGACGAAGGCCUUCGGGUCGUAAAGUGCUGUCGACAGGGAAGAAAAUGCCUAUAAGGAACUGUGUGUGUAUUGACGGUACCUGGAUAGGCAACGACGGCUAACUCUGUGCCAGCAGCCGCGGUAAUACGGAGGAUGCGAGCGUUAUCCGGAUUUAUUGGGUGUAAAGGGUGCGCAGGCGGAAGAUCAAGUCAGCGGUAAAAUUGAGGGGCUCAACCUCUGCGAGCCUUUGAUACUGGCUUUCUUGAGUGAGUGAGAAGUAUGCGGAAUGCGUGGUGUAGCGGUGAAAUGCAUAGAUAUCACGCAGAACUCCGAAUGCGAAGGCAGCAUACUGGCGCUAAACUGACGCUGAUGCACGAAAGCGUGGGUAUCGAACAGGAUUAGAUACCCUUGUAGUC